GACGAACGCUGGCGGCGUGCUUAACACAUGCAAGUCGAACGGGAUUUAGUAAACAGAAGCCUCGGUGGAAGAUUACUAAUGAGAGUGGCGAACGGGUGAGUAACGCGUGAGCAACCUGCCUAUGACAGUGGGAUAGCCUCGGGAAACCGGGAUUAAUACCGCAUAAAAUCGUAGAAACACAUGUUUUAACGGUCAAAGAUUUAUCGGUCAUAGAUGGGCUCGCGUCUGAUUAGCUAGUUGGUGAGAUAACAGCCCACCAAGGCGACGAUCAGUAGCCGGUCUGAGCGGAUGAACGGCCACAUUGGAACUGAGACACGGUCCAAACUCCUACGGGAGGCAGCAGUGGGGAAUAUUGCACAAUGGGGGAAACCCUGAUGCAGCGACGCCGCGUGAACGAAGAAGGUAUUCGUAUCGUAAAGUUCUGUCCUAUGGGAAGAUAAUGACAGUACCAUAGAAGAAAGCUCCGGCUAAAUACGUG
rnacentral:rRNA from 1 species